AACCAAUUAAGAUUUUCUUUUGUUCCCUCAUGUUGAGAAUAGAGUAUAACGGGAAAGUGAAAUGGAAUUCAAUGUUAUCACAUUUGUUUAUUGAAGAAAGCUACGUCAAACAUCAAUAGUAAACAUCAAGCCCAAUGUUAGCAGAAAUAUGAUUCUAUCCAUGAACUAUAAACCCUCAAUUUCGCAAUGUUUAUGGAUUAAAACAUCCCUAAACGUAAGUAUGAGAUUACU
rnacentral:lncRNA from 1 species